UUUAGGCUUAGGCUUAGGCUAAGUCUUAGGCCUAGGCUAAUUUUUAGGCCUAGGUUUAAGCUCAGGCUUCGGCUUAGGCGUAGGCUUAGGCUU
ensembl:ncRNA C27C7.10 ncRNA